CCUACGGGAGGCUGCAGUGAGGAAUAUUGGUCAAUGGACGAGAGUCUGAACCAGCCAAGUAGCGUGAAGGAUGACUGCCCUAUGGGUUGUAAACUUCUUUUAUAUGGGAAUAAAAUGUUCCACGUGUGGGAUUUUGUAUGUACCUUAUGAAUAAGGAUCGGCUAACUCCGUGCCAGCAGCCGCGGUAAUACGGAGGAUCCGAGCGUUAUCCGGAUUUAUUGGGUUUAAAGGGAGCGUAGGUGGAUUGUUAAGUCAGUUGUGAAAGUUUGCGGCUCAACCGUAAAAUUGCAGUUGAAACUGGCAGUCUUGAGUACAGUAGAGGUGGGCGGAAUUCGUGGUGUAGCGGUGAAAUGAUUAGAUAUCACGAAGAACUCCGAUUGCGAAGGCAGUUCACUGGACUGCAACUGACACUGAGGCUCGAAAGUGUGGGUAUCAAACAGGAUUAGAUACCCGUGUAGUC
rnacentral:rRNA from 1 species